GCCUUCGUAGAUCAAGGUGGAUCAGUUCCAGUAUUUAAGGUGGUCGUCGAUUAUGGAAUAGGUGUGGGUUCGAUUCCCGCCGAAGGCA